rnacentral:rRNA from 1 species
CAUAGCGACUAUCGUGGCAUAUCAAUAAGCGGAGGAAAAGAAACUAACAAGGAUUCCCUUAGUAACGGCGAGUGAAGCGGGAAGAGCUCAAAUUUGAAAUCUUCAAGGUUCUACCUUGACGAAUUGUAGUUUAUAGAAGUGUUUUCUGUUAGUAGAGUGGCAAAAGUUCUUUGGAAUAGGACAUCAUAGAGGGUGAGAAUCCCGUAUUUGACCAUUAUUUUCAGCUGUGUGAUACACUUUCAAAGAGUCGGAUUGUUUGGGAAUGCAGUCCAAAAUGGGUGGUAAAUUUCAUCUAAAGCUAAAUAUUGGCGAGAGACCGAUAGCGAACAAGUACCGUGAGGGAAAGAUGAAAAGAACUUUGAAAAGAGAGUUAAACAGUACGUGAAAUUGUCAAAAGGGAAGCGUUUGACACCAGUGUUGUUUUCUCGAAAAUCAAUUAAAAAAGGCCGGAUUUUGUGUUGUAUUGACCUUAAAAGCUUUCUUCACUCUUUUCUUGUCUUUUUUAAUGCACUUUUCGUUUAACAAGUCAACAUCAGUUUCUUUUGUUGUAAAAGGGUCAUUGGAAGGUGGCUUUCUUUUCGGAGAAAGUGUUUAUAGCCUUUGAUCUCUGCAACCGGAGAGACUGAGGUCUGCAGCGUAGACUCUUCGGGGUUAGAUACAUUUGUGCUAAGCUAUAGCUUUUUAUAGACAACUUGUUGACUAUAUUUAGUCUUGUGGCUUACUCGCUUAUGCUAUUUUACCUACGCUUAGGAUGUUGAUAGUCACAGCGUGUAC